GAGAAAUUCUGGUCAUCAGAAUACCACAAGAAGCCAAGUGCCUGCAACAGUGAGAAUGCUUUUAGAUGUUUGUCUUUUCAGCAAGGCAGAUCACAGCAGAUUAUCUGUGAAGAAUGGAUGCUACCAGAACUUGCUGGGCUUGGCCCCGGUCCGGAGCAGCUCGCUUCUUCAGGAGACCACACAAGUACGAGCCGCAAUGGGCAGUCGUGUGUUCCUGUGAGCCCGGCAGAGGCCCCCGAAGCAAAGCCAAGUCCCUCCCAGGAUGCAGGCACCGCUCCUACUGCCGCGCUGCCCUGACAGCCCCUCAGCGCUUCCCCAGCAGCAGCACGUAUUCGGGGGUUGCCUUUAAUCGCCACUAAGCUUUGCGCUGAAUGCCCCUCUCGGUAAUUGCUCCCGCUCCCCAUUCAGAACUGCGUCGUUUCUAAAACGUUCAUUGAAAAUGGCUGGUUUACUUUGCAGGACCCAACUAUUUUAAUGGCGAGGAUGUAAAGUGA